CGUGACCCGCAGCGCCUCGCCCCUGCUCCGGAGCCCCGCCCCCGGGGUGGUGCAGCCCACGCCUGCCCGGCGUGCCCAAUCGGGACAACAGAGUGCCUCUGCCAACCAGACUAUAAGAAGAGAGAGAUGGGAGAUUAGGGUGGGUCCUGGCCACCUCACCAGGGGAGAGAGCAUCAGUGGAGUACGGCCCUUAGAGACCUGGACUUGUCUUGGUCCUGAUAAUCUUCAUCCUCCCAUAGGGGAGAAGAGGCUGAGAAACUGAGGCCCAGAGAAUGAAGCAACAGUUAAAUGAGCGAAGCACUUAACAAACUUCAAGUCCGUAGGUGCCUUUUCUCCGGCUGUCAGUAAGUGCAGAGGCAACUAUGAUGCCCUAGGGUGUUAACUGUUGUUUGCACUUAACACAUUUACUUCCCCCUUCUUUCUUUCUUAUUUUUAUUCACUCUGUUGCUUUUACAGCCAGCAUGUUAAGCUUCCUCAAACCCUGUUGGAAUAGAAAGGGCAUAUCUAGGAGAGCUGACUCCAAGAUUGUCCCCAGUUUCUCCAGCACAAGAAGAGGCAGGAAGUCAGGGGCACAUGGUCUCUCCAAAAAUAAAGUUGAUAA